GUAGGUGGCGAGCGUUAUCCGGAAUGAUUGGGCGUAAAGGGUGCGUAGGUGGCAGAACAAGUCUGGAGUAAAAGGUAUGGGCUCAACCCGUACUGGCUCUGGAAACUGUUCAGCUAGAGUGCGGAAGAGGAUCGUGGAAUUCCAUGUGUAGCGGUGAAAUGCGUAGAUAUAUGGAGGAACACCAGUGGCGAAGGCGACGGUCUGGGCCGCAACUGACGCUCAUUCCCGAAAGCGUGGGGAGCAAAUAGGAUUAGAUACCCUAGUAGUCCACGCCGUAAACGAUGGUCACUAAGUGUCGGGGGUCAAACCCCGGUGCUGCAGUCAACGCAAUAAGUGACCCGCCUGAGUAGU
rnacentral:rRNA from 1 species